rnacentral:rRNA from 1 species
GACGAACGCUGGCGGCGUGCCUAAUACAUGCAAGUUGAGCGCUGAAGGUUGGUACUUGUACCGACUGGAUGAGCAGCGAACGGGUGAGUAACGCGUGGGGAAUCUGCCUUUGAGCGGGGGACAACAUUUGGAAACGAAUGCUAAUACCGCAUAAAAACUUUAAACACAAGUUUUAAGUUUGAAAGAUGCAAUUGCAUCACUCAAAGAUGAUCCCGCGUUGUAUUAGCUAGUUGGUGAGGUAAAGGCUCACCAAGGCGAUGAUACAUAGCCGACCUGAGCGGGUGAUCGGCCACAUUGGGACGGAGACACGGCCCAAACUCCUACGGGAGGUAGCAGUAGGGAAUCUUCGGCAAUGGACGAAAGUCUGACCGAGCAACGCCGCGUGAGUGAAGAAGGUUUUCGGAUCGUAAAACUCUGUUGGUAGAGAAGAACGUUGGUGAGAGUGGAAAGCUCAUCAAGUGACGGUAACUACCCAGAAAGGGACGGCUAACUACGUGCCAGCCGCCGCGGUAA